UCUGUUCUACAACUCCUUCCUGAGCUCCAGGUCAUAUCAUGUGUUUUAUAGUGAUAGUCUGUCUGUUCUACAACUCCUUCCUGAGCUCCAGGUCAUAUCAUGUGUUUUAUAGUGAUAGUCUGUUCUACAACUCCUUCCUGAGCUCCAGGACAUAUCAUGUGUUUUAUAGUGAUAGUCUGUUCUACAACUCCUUCCUGAGCUCCAGGACAUAUCAUGUGUUUUAUAGUGAUAGUCUGUUCUACAACUCCUUCCUGAGCUCCAGGUCAUAUCAUGUGUUUUAUAGUGAUAGUCUGUCUGUUCUACAACUCCUUCCUGAGCUCCAGGACAUAUCAUGUGUUUUAUAGUGAUAGUCUGUUCUAC